GCCCCCGUAGCAUAGUCGCUAUUGCGGCGGUUUUGUAAACCGCAGGUCGAGGGUUCAAAUCCCUCCGGGGGCU
rnacentral:tRNA from 1 species